GACCGUUCCGGUGGCCUAGUGGUUAGAGCGUCUGCCUCAGAUGCGGGAGGUUCUGGGUUCUAUCCCCGGUCGAGUCA